GUCUCAGUGUUACCAUGACGCUGUCUGGAGACUGGAGGAGUCACCAGGUCCUCUUCCUUGUCCAGUGUUACCAUGACUCUGUCUGGAGACUGGAGGAGUCACCAGGUCCUCUUCCUUGGCUCAGUGUUACCAUGACUCUGUCUGGAGACUGGAGGAGUCACCAGGUCCUCUUCCUUGUCUCAGUGUUACCAUGACUGUCUGGAGACUGGAGGGAGGAGGUCACCAGGUCCUCUUCCUUGUCUCAGUGUUACCAUGACUGUCUGGAGACUGGAGGGAGGAGUCACCAGGUCCUCUUCCUUGUCUCAGUGUUACCAUGACUGUCUGGAGACUGGAGGAGGAGUCACCAGGUCCUCUUCCUUGUCUCAGUGUUACCAUGACUCUGUCUGGAGACUGGAGGAGUCACCAGGUCCUCUUCCUUGUCUCAGUGUUACCAUGACUCUGUCUGGAGACUGGAGGGAGGAGUCACCAGGUAAUCUUCCUUGUCUUAGUGUUACCAUGACUGUCUGGAGACUGGAGGGAGGAGUCACCAGGUCAUACUAACUAGGCUCAUUCAUGACACACCUCACAGUUCAGCUGUCAGAGAUUUCAGCACUAAAUGUAUCAGGGCAUUGCAUGCAUAGACCUAUAGCCUUAGGUGUCCACUGGAUGAUCUUAAUAUUUUACCUUCUAUUUAUUUAUAUAUAUAUAUUUAUUUUGUGUGUGCAAAUGAACUCAAGCUUACAGACAAUGUCAAAUGUGAUAUAGCGAGGCACCUGAGUGAGCUGGGUGCGCAAUUACGCAGGUACUUUCCCAAAAUGGACGACACAAAUAAUUGGAUUCGUUAUCCCUUUCGUCCCCUCCAGUCUACUGACUGAUAUCUGAACGAAGGAGCCUCAUCGAAAUUGCAACAAGCGGUUCUGUGAAAAUUUAAUUUAAUCAGAAGCUACUACCAGAUUUCUGGAUAGGGCUGCCCUCAGAGUAUCCUGCCUUGGCAAAUCACGCUGUCAAGACACUGAUGCCCUUUGCAACCACGUACCUAUGUGAGAGUGGAUUCUUGGCCCUCACUAGCAUGAAAAAACGAAAUACAGGCACAGUCUGUGUGUGAAAAAUGAUUUAAGACUGAGACUCUCUCCAAUACAACCCAACAUUGCAGAGUCAUGAGCAUCCUUUGAAGCACACCCUUCUCAUUAACCUGUGGUGAGUUAUACACAAUUUUUGAUGAACAAAUAAUGUUUUAUAUGUAAGAUGGUUAAAUAAAGAGCUAAAUGAUUGAUUAUUAUUAUGCUAUUAUUUGUGCCCUGGUCCUAUAAGAGUUCUUUGUCACUUCCCACGAGCCGGGUUGUGACGACAACUCACACUCAUUCUUAUGUUUAAUAAAUGUAUCGU
rnacentral:lncRNA from 1 species